AAACUUAAAGGAAUUGACGAGGACCCGCACAAGCGGCGGAGCAUGCGGAUUAAUUCGAUGCAACGCGAAGAACCUUACCAAGGCUUGACAUACACGAGAACGCCCUAGAAAUAGGGAACUCUUUGGACACUCGUGAACAGGUGGUGCAUGGUUGUCGUCAGCUCGUGUCGUGAGAUGUUGGGUUAAGUCCCGCAACGAGCGCAACCCUCGUUCUAUGUUGCCAGCACGUCAUGGUGGGAACUCAUGGGAUACUGCCGGGGUCAACUCGGAGGAAGGUGGGGAUGACGUCAAAUCAUCAUGCCCCUUAUGUCUUGGGCUUCACGCAUGCUACAAUGGCCGGUAACAAAGGGCUGCAAUACCGUAAGGUGGAGCGAAUCCCAAAAAGCCGGUCCCAGUUCGGAUUGAGGUCUGCAACUCGACCUCAUGAAGUCGGAGUCGCUAGUAAUCGCAGAUCAGCAACGCUGCGGUGAAUACGUUCCCGCGUCUUGUACACACCGCCCGUCAAGUCAUGAAAGUCGGUAACACCUGAAGCCGGUGGCCCAACCCUUGUGGAGGGAGCCGUCGAAGGUGGGAUCGGUAAUUAGGACUAAGUCGUAACAAGGUAGCCGUACCGGAAGGUGCGGCUGGAUCACCUCCUUUCUG
rnacentral:rRNA from 1 species